rnacentral:rRNA from 1 species
UACGUAGGUGGCGAGCGUUAUCCGGAAUUAUUGGGCGUAAAGAGCGCGCAGGUGGUUGGUUAAGUCUGAUGUGAAAGCCCACGGCUUAACCGUGGAGGGUCAUUGGAAACUGGUCGACUUGAGUGCAGAAGAGGGAAGUGGAAUUCCAUGUGUAGCGGUGAAAUGCGUAGAGAUAUGGAGGAACACCAGUGGCGAAGGCGGCUUCCUGGUCUGUAACUGACACUGAGGCGCGAAAGCGUGGGGAGCAAACAGGAUUAGAUACCCU